GACGUAGGGCGCGAGCGUUGUCCGGAUUUAUUGGGCGUAAAGAGCUCGUAGGCGGCUUGUUGACGUCAGCUGUGAAAACCCGCAGCUCAACUGUGGGCUUGCAGCUGAUACGGGCAGGCUUGAGUUCGGUAGGGGAGAUCGGAAUUCCUGGAUGUAGCGGUGAAAUGACGCAGAUAUCAGGAGGAACACCGGUGGCGAAGGCGGAUCUCUGGGCCGAUACUGACGCUGAGGAGCGAAAGCGUGGGGAGCGAACAGG
rnacentral:rRNA from 1 species